rnacentral:rRNA from 1 species
CCGACGGGUGAGUAACACGUAUCCAACCUGCCGUCUACUCUUGGACAGCCUUCUGAAAGGAAGAUUAAUACAAGAUGGCAUCAUGAGUCCGCAUGUUCACAUGAUUAAAGGUAUUCCGGUAGACGAUGGGGAUGCGUUCCAUUAGAUAGUAGGCGGGGUAACGGCCCACCUAGUCUUCGAUGGAUAGGGGUUCUGAGAGGAAGGUCCCCCACAUUGGAACUGAGACACGGUCCAA